CCUACGGGAGGCAGCAGUGAGGAAUAUUGGUCAAUGGACGAGAGUCUGAACCAGCCAAGUAGCGUGAAGGAUGACUGCCCUAUGGGUUGUAAACUUCUUUUAUAAAGGAAUAAAACGAGGCACGUGUGCCUUUUUGCAUGUACUUUAUGAAUAAGGAUCGGCUAACUCCGUGCCAGCAGCCGCGGUAAUACGGAGGAUCCGAGCGUUAUCCGGAUUGAUUGGGUUUAAAGGGACCGUAGAUGGGUUGUUAAGUCAGUUGUGAAAGUUUGCGGCUCAACCGUAAAAUGGCAAUUGAUACUGGCAGUCUUGAGUACAGUUGAGGUAGGCGGAAUUCGUGGUGUAGCGGUGAAAUGCUUAGAUAUCACGAAGAACCCCGAUUGCGAAGGCAGCUUACUAAACUGUGACUGACAUUGAUGCUCGAAAGUGUGGGUAUCAAACAGGAUUAGAUACCCGUGUAGUC
rnacentral:rRNA from 1 species